CAGCAGCCGCGGGAAUACGAAGGGUGCAAGCGUUAAUCGGAAUUACUGGGCGUAAAGCGUGCGUAGGCGGUUUGUUAAGUCUGUUGUGAAAUCCCCGGGCUCAACCUGGGAAUGGCAAUGGAUACUGGCAAGCUAGAGUGUGUCAGAGGAUGGUGGAAUUCCCGGUGUAGCGGUGAAAUGCGUAGAGAUCGGGAGGAACAUCAGUGGCGAAGGCGGCCAUCUGGGACAACACUGACGCUGAGGCACGAAAGCGUGGGGAGCAAACAGGAUUAGAUACCCCAGUAGUCCCUGUCCUUAUACC
rnacentral:rRNA from 1 species